rnacentral:lncRNA from 1 species
CCCCCCCUUUUCUUCUUCUCUUCUCUUUUCUCUUGACUCUCUCUCAUCUCUCUGCCUCUCCGCCACUCCCCACGGUGGUUCCACCGGCUGAAAAUUGCCACCACCGGCCGACCACCUCCAAUCACCACCAAACUUUCACCCCCUAAUAUCAACCUCGUCUUUUUGAUUCCAACCUCCAAAUCCUCUAAAUCCUCACCAAUCACCACAAAUCCGGCCAAAUCUGAAAUCCUAGCCGUCCAAAGUUUCUUCUUUUCUUUCUCAAAUUAGUGACAUACCAGUCAUCCCCACCACACAAGCCUCGCAUAAAUGUGUAUAUCUCCGGGAGAUCUGCACUUCUCCAUUAGUUUCAUUACCAAAAAGCCCCAUCGUUACCGUCCGACCACCCCAAUGCCUGUAACCUCCACCAAACGCCCCGAACAUCUAUUUUAGCUAUUUUGACUCAAAGACACUCGUUUUUUUUUGCAAGACGCCGAAACCCUUUUGUUUUAGCGUCUGCUCGAAAGAAACGUGUGUUCUAGAGUCGGACAGCCACCGCUUGAUGUCUCUGUCGUCUUCUGGUGGCUUGAGACUGCCUCGAUGGCACUUGUUAGGUAUACUCCUAUCUCUUGUUUCCUUUUUAAUUUUUUAUGUUUCAUUAAAGUUAGUUUAGGCCUAGGUUUAGCUUAUAACAUUUUUCUGUUUGUUUCUUAUUCGUGAUGAUCUUCUUUUAAUUUGUGUAUUUUCUUUUGAUAAAAUAGUUUAGAUAUUUUAGCCGAAAAUAGUAGCUUAAUCACUCAAUGAAUCUUGUUUAGUUCUUGUUUGUGAUUUAGUAGUUUGGUAUGUAGUAUAGUGUUCUGAUUAGCUGCUCGUAAUGGUCGUUUAGUUAGUGAGUUUGUAUUUAUUUAGUUUGAGUUAGUGACUUGUUGAUCUUGAUCGAUUGUUGGUUGCAUAAACCAAAUUGAUUUAAUCUAGUUAGUUUGAAUUUAGUUACAGUAAAGAUAUUAUUUAUGCUUUGACAAUCCAUAUUUGUUUAAGUUUGAUUUGUUUUGAGCAAGUAGGUUGGUACUGAUGGUUUAAAGUUGAAGUCUAGGUAAAUUGAUCACGAUUUAGGAUACUAGUAGCUUGCUUUUUACUACUAGAGUGGCUGAAAGGACCCUUUCACCCCAUGCUUCUGCCACAACAGGUUGGCUGUCUUUUCACCCUUCGAACAGUCUUUGGGCAGUGUUUUGGCCUACAAAGUCAGUCCUUUUGGACAGACUUUUGGUGAACCAAAAUCUAUCCCAAAGGACUUGUAUUUUCCUACUUAAGGGGGCUCCUCUCACUCACUUUAAUUUAGACAGGCCUUUCAACCUUUGUUGAACACACAAAAAACUUGAGAGAAAUCAGCUGAACAUCAAGAAAUAGUAGGCUGAAACUUGAGAGCUUUGUGUGAAUUUUCUGGAAAAAAAAAACUUCAAAGAACAAAUGUCUUUGAAGUUAAUUUAUGGGUUUCUUUAUCUCUGAAAAUUGUCUGAGUUUUCGAGAUCUAUUUCGAGUCGUCUAUUUGGUUCUUUACUGUUGUUGCUGUUGUUUAUUUAGUUGCUGAUUUUCAAGUGCUUUUGCCGAGUUUUUCUGUUUCGUUUCUAGGUAUUUUCAUCGCUAUUUCUGCUGUUGUUUCUGCUCGUUACACUGCAGUAUUUUUAUUAUUCUGCGACCCAGGUAACUCUUUAACCUUGUGUUGUAGAUACUUUAACAUUAAUAAGAAGAUUUGAACUCAUCUUGACUGUUGGGAGCAUAUUUAUCUAGAUAAAUGAAUGCUAGAUAGUUUUUGAUUGUUAAAGCAUAUCUUGUUUGAUUCACGUGUAAAAAUGAAUCUAUGAAUGUUCAAAUACUCUCUAUUCAUGUGUAACUUGACUUUAUUACCCAAUAUAUGGUUCCGAUUCAUGUAAAAAUGGGAUAUUCUGAAAAGGCUGGCAUGUGUUUAAAGACUGUUCUGGCACUUUGCGCAAUUCUGGCCAGUUUAUGUUAGUUUUGUGCAAAUUGGCCAUUCUUUAAAGAAAAGAACAAAAGAGCCAUGCCUGAAAGCUUUAAUUUAUUAUUAUAAAGUCUAGAUUUUACAUCUCUGCUAGGACCUUUGCUUUCUGGUAAAAAGUGGCUAGAUCAUAAAUAAGUGGUUGGGAUUGCUAGCUAAAAAUAAAGGUUAAUGGCUUAGAGCAAAAGAGGUUAGACUCGCAAUAUAGCACAGGUGGGCUGUCUUAGCAAGUCAGCAGUUGAAAGCCAUUGGGCUUUUAGCUUGUGCCCAUUUAUGGAGCCCAAUAAUGUGGACAAGACAGAUUCUGCCCAACAGGCCCAAUGCCUUUAAAAAGUCUAUAAAUAUUUUGCCCAUUCGUUUGUGUAGAUGCUGGCCCAAUGACACAACUAAUAAGCAAAUCGGCCCACUUUCUCAAUAAAUAAUCUGAUCCAUCUUCAAAAUAAUACUAGAUUAGUUGAAUAAACUUAUUAGGAGCAAGUUAAUUUCCAUAAUGUUUAACAAUAAUCUAAUAACUUAAGCACUUUUAAUUAAUUUAAGCGCUAGGCAAAUUUUAGGCACGGAUACAAGUCUGAUGUUCUUAAAAUGCUUCGCGUAUACUAGCUUGGUCAUGUAGUUUAAUAAGAAUAAAGAUUAUAAAUAAGGUCCAAUAUCAAUAGAAUAUCCAUAAGUUGUUUUACUACCAUUAGUUUACAAAAAACAUUUUCUUUCACAAUAGAGAUGGAUAAUUAUUUUUCCCAUAAUCUAACCUCCAAAACCUUAGAUUAAAUAAAGAUAAUUAGUUUCGUCUUAACCGAUAUCGAUAAGACUCACUUCGAGUAGGCUCCAAUUCUAGGUGCGACACACGAAUUAAGGUCGGAGAUAAUCGUCUUGGUUAGUGUAAGUUAGGGUCGGGGAUACUAGUCCUAGUUUGAAACUUAACAAUGUCAUCAACAAUAAAAGCGGAGUUUAAGUCAAUAAAGCGACGGUGCUAGAACCACGGACUCGGGGAGUGCCUCACACCUUCACCCCGGUCAACAUAAUUUCUUACCCGGUCUCCUAUUUUUGUAGACCAAUAAAAAUAGAGUCAAACCUUCCUUUGACUAGGGAUUCAAAUAAAAAGUGACUUGGAACACCUAAAAAAUCAAUUCGAGUGGCGACUCUAUAAAUAAAAUAAUCUCUACUCAAAUUUGUCACUUUAAUUAAAAUUUUUUUUUUAAUCCACAAUCCAUACAACAUAUCCUUUAGGGUAGAAAAGGGGUGUGACAGCUCUGGCGACUCUGCUAGGUAAAUUCAAGAAUUCGAGCUUAUACAUUGACUUUAUUUAGCUUUAUUAAUUUUAGUAUAUACUGUGAUUUAUUUGGGCCUAAUAUGCUACUUGCCUGCUCUUUACCGCUUUGAUAUUGUUGAACUGUAUUAUAAAUUGUCUUCUUGCGCAUCCCCUCUAAGUCUUCUGAAUAUAACAUCAGCAAUUGCGGAUACGCGCCCCAUUCUUUUUUGAGAUAAAGCUGGUGGGCCUGAGCUCCCAGUGAAGAAUUAUUAGUCACCCAUAUUUAAGAAACGGGGAGGUUCCAGUAUUGUGAUGACCCGAUAGGUCAUUUUGAGAUUUAGCCUCUAUUCCCGUAUUUUGAGACCUCGAAUAGCUUCGUUUAGCAUUCUUGAUUUGCGUGCACAGUCAGAGUCUUAUUCUGAAAACGUUUUAUGUGAAAAAUUUAAGAAAAUGUGAAUUUUUGUCUUUAAAAUGACUUGAGUUGACUACGGUCAAUAUUUUAUGUAAACGGAUCCGGAUUAGUAUUUUGAUGGUUCAGGUGGAUCCGAAUCGUGAUUUGGCACUUGGGCGUAUGUCCGGAAUUGAAUUCGUAAGUCCCUAACUUGUUUUGACUCAUUUUGCUGAAAAUUAGCAUUUUUGAAAGUUAAAGAAUUCCUAAGUUGACCAUAAGUUGACUUCUUAGCUAAUAGGUUCGAAUUUUGACAUUAAAACUUGGAAUUAUUCCGUAUUGCUAUUUGAAACUUGUCUGCAAAAUUUGGUUCAAUUCGAAAUUGAUUUGACAUAAUUCAGACACAUAAACGUGAUUCUAGUAUUUUUGAGUUUCACUUUAAAAGUUCAUUCGUUUUGAGAGUUGAUUCGUAGAUAUACAUGUUAUUUUGGUGAUUUGAUUGUACGAGAAAGUUCUUAUGAUGUUAUUACACUUGUGUGCAUGUUUAGUUUGGAGUCCGAGGGGCUCACGUGAGUUUCGAAUAGUCUACGAAUUGAUUUUGGACUUUGGGAGAUAGCUGAUGUCUUCAGUGUUGCUGGUGUAAUCUACAGAUCUCGCAUUUGCGAGGCCUGGCUCGCAAUUGCGAGCCUCGCUUUUGCGAACUAGUAUUUGCAUUUGCGAGUACGGGUUGGAUUGGGAAGUUUUGCAUUUGCGAGGAGAAAGUUCGCAUUUGCGAACGUGCAGUUGCAGCUUUGCGAAGACAGAGUCGCGUUUGCGACUCAGUGUGUUCCUGGGUAACCUUCGCAUUUGCGAAGGGAUGGUCUGCAUUUGCGUGGGCUCUAGGUUCAUAUUUGCGACCAAAAUGUCACAUUUGCGACGUCUCUUCUUCUAAGAUAGGGUUCUCAUUUGCGACCCCUUUCUCGCAUUUGCGAUGUUUGCAAUUGCGAACAUGACAUUGCAAUUGCGACAUCCGCAUCUGGGUAAAAGAGGGAAAAAGCGAGAUUUAGCUCAUUUCUCACAAACUCUCAAAUCUAAACACCUAGAGGCGAUUUUCCAAGAGACGUUUCUUCCUAAAUUCAUUGGUUAGUGACUUUAAUCCAUUUUUUUUCAAUUACCCAUAACAUUUCAUAAGAUUUCAACAUAAAAUUUAGGAUUUCAAUGGUAGAAAUUAGAGAUUUGGGUAUAAUUGAGGAUUUUUGUAAAAUUGAGGUUUAGACCUCGAAUUGGGGUCGGAUUUCGAAACAAAUCACAUAAUCAGGCUCAGGGGUGAAUGUGUAAUCGGGUUUUGGUCCAAAUCUCAAUUUUGACCAAGCGGGCCCGGGGUUGACUUUUGUUGACUUUUCCAAAAAUGAUCUAAAUUGAACCCCUUUCAUUCGUGGGUAGUUUCUAAAGUUUAUUUUGAAUCAUUUGGUCAAUAAUUUACUAUAUUUGGUUGGUUUGGAGGCUUGUUCGAAAGGAAAGACCGUUGAGCUUUGAGUUAAUUGCGGAGUGAGGUAAAUGUUGGGUUUAAUGUAAGUGACCCGCGUUAGCUUGUCACUACUUCAUCGAGGUUACGCUCGACACUUACAGAGUACAUGGGGUCGGUUGUACUCAUACUACACUCUGCACUUCUUGUGCAGAUACCGAAGUUGGUCCCAUUGACGUUCAGUAAACUUGCUCAGAUCCAGUUUUUCGGUGGAGACUUGAGGUAUAGCUACACGACGUCUGCAGCCCUGAAGUCCCCUUAUACUUUAUUUUAGCUGUUUACUUUGAUUAAGACAGUUAUGUUUAUUUUAAACUUUUAUUUUUAGUAUUCUAGAUGCUCAUGUAUUCUUGACACCAGUUCCGAGAUUUGUAUUUGAAUUUCGUCACUUAUUAGUUUAUUACCUUAUUUCAGACUGUUCAGUUUUAUUAUUGUCAUUUAAUUUGAAAAUUGUUAAAAAUGGUUAAUAACUAUAUCUAACGUUGGGCGCCAUCACGGUCCCUAGGGUGGGAAUUUUGGAUCGUGACAAAUUGGUAUCAGAGCACUAGGUUGCCUAAGUCUCACGUGUCAUGAGCAAGCUUAGUAUAGUCUGGAGGAUCGGUAUGGAGACAUCUAUACUUAUGUUCUAGAGGCUAUGAAGUUUAGGAAAAAAUUCACUUCUUUCUAUCUCGAUCGUGCAAUUCAUUCUAUCAUUGAUGAUUGAACCAUUCUAUUCUUGUUCUCUCGCAGAUGGCGAGAACACACAACAUCGACAGUUGAACAGGAGCUGGAGCCCCAUGUGGCAGCUACUACCAGGGGCAGAUGUAACGAACCGAUCGAUCGUUUUGAGCUCUAGUGCAUCAUUCGGCGGUUUGAGGCCUUGAGUAGCUUCACUUCAUGUUUUAUGACUUGUACGUGUGGUCAGAAUUAAAUUUCGGGAAGUUCGGAGUUGAUUCGGAAGGAAAAUUCUCAAUGCGGAAGCUUAAGUUGGAAAGGUUGACCAAGGUUUGACUUUUAUUUAAACGACUUCGGAAUUGAGAUUUGAAGGUUCUAAUAGGUUCGUACGAUAAUUUCGGACUUGGGUGUAUGUUUGGGUUGAGUAUCGGGUGGUUCGGAAGCAUUUUGGCGCUUAUUAUGGGAAGUUGGCA